rnacentral:lncRNA from 1 species
GGAUUCUGAGCAUUUGUAGCAAAAUCGCUGGGAUCUGGAGAGGAAGACUCAGUCCAGAAUCCUCCCAGGGCCUUGAAAGUCCAUCUCUGACCCAAAACAAUCCAAGGAGGUAGAAGACAUCGUAGAAGGAGUGAAAGAAGAAAAGAAGACUUAGAAACAUAGCUCAAAGUGAACACUGCUUCUCUUAGUUUCCUGGAUUUCUUCUGGACAUUUCCUCAAGAUGAAACUUCAGACACUUUGGAGUUUUUUUUGAAGACCACCAUAAAGAAAGUGCAUUUCAAUUGAAAAAUUUGGAUGGGAUCAAAAAUGAAUCUCAUUGAACAUUCCCAUUUACCUACCACAGAUGAAUUUUCUUUUUCUGAAAAUUUAUUUGGGCUUCUCAGACUCCCCUGGAGUCCAUCCAUGUGUUCUCAUUUAAGAACUCGUCCCUAAACUUCCAUGGAGAACCGUCACAAAGGAAUCCUAAUUCUCAUACUCUUUGAUAGGCUAAUUCCAAAAUAAAGAUUCCUAAAUCUAAAUUUUAAUAUGUAUUUUCCCUUUUAAAUUGUAUCAAAAUAGAAAUAAA